CCAGACUCCUACGGGAGGCAGCAGUGGGGAAUAUUGGGCAAUGGGCGCAAGCCUGACCCAGCAACGCCGCGUGAAGGAAGAAGGCUUUCGGGUUGUAAACUUCUUUUGACAGGGAAGAGCGGAAGACGGUACCUGUCGAAUAAGCCACGGCUAACUACGUGCCAGCAGCCGCGGUAAUACGUAGGUGGCAAGCGUUGUCCGGAUUUACUGGGUGUAAAGGGCGUGUAGCCGGGCUGACAAGUCAGAUGUGAAAACCAUGGGCUCAACCUGUGGCCUGCAUUUGAAACUGUUUUUCUUGAGUACUGGAGAGGCAGACGGAAUUCCUAGUGUAGCGGUGAAAUGCGUAGAUAUAAGGAAGAACACCAGUGGCGAAGGCGGAUUACUGGACGAUAACUGACGGUGAGGCGCGAAAGCGUGGGGAGCAAACAGGAUUAGAUACCCGAGUACU
rnacentral:rRNA from 1 species